AUGCAGUCGAGCGGACAGAAGGGAGCUUGCUCCCGGAUGUUAGCGGCGGACGGGUGAGUAACACGUGGGUAACCUGCCUGUAAGACUGGGAUAACUCCGGGAAACCGGAGCUAAUACCGGAUAGUUCCUUGAACCGCAUGGUUCAAGGAUGAAAGACGGUUUCGGCUGUCACUUACAGAUGGACCCGCGGCGCAUUAGCUAGUUGGUGAGGUAAUGGCUCACCAAGGCGACGAUGCGUAGCCGACCUGAGAGGGUGAUCGGCCACACUGGGACUGAGACACGGCCCAGACUCCUACGGGAGGCAGCAGUAGGGAAUCUUCCGCAAUGGACGAAAGUCUGACGGAGCAACGCCGCGUGAGUGAUGAAGGUUUUCGGAUCGUAAAGCUCUGUUGUUAGGGAAGAACAAGUGCGAGAGUAACUGCUCGCACCUUGACGGUACCUAACCAGAAAGCCACGGCUAACUACGUGCCAGCAGCCGCGGUAAUACGUAGGUGGCAAGCGUUGUCCGGAAUUAUUGGGCGUAAAGGGCUCGCAGGCGGUUUCUUAAGUCUGAUGUGAAAGCCCCCGGCUCAACCGGGGAGGGUCAUUGGAAACUGGGAAACUUGAGUGCAGAAGAGGAGAGUGGAAUUCCACGUGUAGCGGUGAAAUGCGUAGAGAUGUGGAGGAACACCAGUGGCGAAGGCGACUCUCUGGUCUGUAACUGACGCUGAGGAGCGAAAGCGUGGGGAGCGAACAGGAUUAGAUACCCUGGUAGUCCACGCCGUAAACGAUGAGUG
rnacentral:rRNA from 1 species